rnacentral:rRNA from 1 species
AAGUUUGAUCAUGGCUCAGAAUGAACGUUGGCGGCGUGGAUUAGGCAUGCAAGUCGAGCGCUCAUAGCAAUAUGGGAGCGGCGAACGGCGUAGUAAUAUGUAGGAACGUACCCUCAGGACGGGGAUAGCUAUGGGAAACUGUAGGUAAUACCCGAUAAUCUCUGCGGAGCAAAGGUGUGAUUCCACCUGAGGAGCGGCCUACACGAUAUUAGCUAGUUGGUGGGGUAAUGGCCUACCAAGGCUACGAUGUCUAGGGGGUGUGAGAGCAUGGCCCCCACGACCGGAACUGAGAUACUGUCCGGACACCUACGGGUGGCUGCAGUCGAGAAUCUUCCGCAAUGGACGAAAGUCUGACGGAGCGACGCCGCGUGCGGGAUGAAGGCCCUUGGGUUGUAAACCGCUGUCAGAGGGGAUGAAAUCUUCGGAGGUACUCCUCCGAAGUUGACAAAGCCUCAAAGGAAGCACGGGCUAAGUACGUGCCAGCAGCCGCGGUAACACGUACUGUGCGAACGUUAUUCGGAAUCACUGGGCUUAAAGGGUGCGUAGGCGGCGAUUCAAGUCAGAUGUGAAAUGCCUGAGCUCAACUGAGGCAUUGCGUUUGAAACUGAAUUGCUAGAGUAUUCCAGGGGUGUGCGGAACUGCCAGUGGAACGGUGAAAUGUGUUGAUAUUGGCAGGAACACCGGAGGCGAAAGC